rnacentral:rRNA from 1 species
AGGGUUUGAUCAUGGCUCAGAACGUACGCUGGCGGCACGCCUUAUACAUGCAAGUCGAACGAAGUAGCAAUACUUAGUGGCAGACGGGUGAGUAACAUGUAGGUAUCUGCCCUUUGGCCUGGAAUAACACGAGGAAACUUGUGCUAAUACUGGAUAAGUCUUUACGGAGAAAGCUUUAUGCACCAUUGGAUGAGCCUGCACUUGAUUAGUUUGUUGGUGGGGUAAUGGCCUACCAAGACAAUGAUCAAUAGCUGAUUUGAGAGGAUGAUCAGCCACAUUGGAACUGAGACACGGUCCAAACUCCUACGGGAGGCAGCAGUAGGGAAUCUUGCACAAUGGAGGAAACUCUGAUGCAGCGAUGCCGCGUGAGUGAAGAAGGCCUUUGGGUUGUAAAGCUCUUUCGUCGGGGAAGAAAAUGACUGUACCCGAAUAAGAAGGUCCGGCUAACUUCGUGCCAGCAGCCGCGGUAAUACGAAGGGACCUAGCGUAGUUCGGAAUUACUGGGCUUAAAGAGUUCGUAGGUGGUUAAAAAAGUUGGUGGUGAAAUCCCAGAGCUUAACUCUGGAACUGCCAUCAAAACUUUUUAGCUAGAGUAUGGUAGAGGAAAGCAGAAUUUCUAGUGUAGAGGUGAAAUUCGUAGAUAUUAGAAAGAAUACCGAUUGCGAAGGCAGCUUUCUGGAUCAUUACUGACGCUGA